rnacentral:lncRNA from 1 species
UCUGAGAUGACAUCUUUGAAAGAAAGCAGACCCCAGUUGGGCUCCAUAUUCAUAAUUGGCUGUGCUUAGGCCUGUAAAUCUGGAUUGAUUUAAAAAGGCUUCUUCAUCCUUCCAAUCAAAUGAAGUCAUUGUUAAUUAGAUGGGUUUUUGUUAACAAUGUCACUCUCUCCAUAUUACCUGCUCACACUUGCAGUCCCUCUAGUACAUCUGGAACACCAGCUCUCCUGCAGUCACAUCUUCUAACACUCCUGCUGGAAAGUGAUGGUAUUUCUGUUCCUCCAUUCCCUCCCUGUCUGGAGGAAGAUUCUGUUCAAUGUAUUGGUGUGCAGUACAAAUUAUCUUCCUAUACUGAGAGAUUAUAAAGCAACCUCUGGAAACACUCUUAAAAUUUGGCAUAUUAUGAACGACGCUGCAAUUUUGUUUGUCGACCCUAAUUGUAGAUGGAUGCUUAGUGUAGAGAAGGAGCUCACAAGAUAGUUUGGCUAAUAAAAAAAAAAAAAA